AGACAGCAGUCGCCACGGUAACACCGAGGGUGCGAGCGUUAAUCGGAUUUACUGGGCGUAAAGCGUGCGUAGGCGGCUAAUUGAGUCGGAUGUGAAAUCCCCGAGCUUAACUUGGGAAUUGCAUUCGAUACUGGUUAGCUAGAGUGUGGGAGAGGAUGGUAGAAUUCCAGGUGUAGCGGUGAAAUGCGUAGAGAUCUGGAGGAAUACCGAUGGCGAAGGCAGCCAUCUGGCCUAACACUGACGCUGAGGUACGAAAGCAUGGGGAGCAAACAGGAUUAGAUACCCCGGUAGUCCCUGUCUCUUAUAC
rnacentral:rRNA from 1 species